UAGACACCCGCACCACUCGCUCCGAUCCGCUCGCCCCCUCCGUCCGAUGCGCUCUCCCCUCGCUCCGCCCCGAAGCGCUUCCCCCUCCCGACGCCCUGCCCGGCUGCCCCUCGCGACGCCUUCCCUCUCGCUCCCCCUCACGCCGCCACAGCCCGCGAGCCGUUCCGCCGCUGCCGCCCUCCCCUCGCGCCGUACGUCGCAGCCGGUGAGCCGGUCCGGGCCGCCGCCAUCGUGUCGUCAAGCCAUCCCAUCCCAGCCCAGCCCCGCCGUCCCGCCGCCGUGAGGUGUCGCUGUUUGCCGCAGCGAGGGGUCCCCGUCCACCCGCGCGAGGAGGCGGGUCCCCGGCGGCAGCCCCAAGCGGCGGGGAGCGCGCGACCGCGAGCGGUGGGGGCGCGAUGGCUCCGAGCGGCGGGAGCGCGGCGGCCUUGAGCCGAACGGAGCACGGCGGUCCUGAGCGGCGGCCCCAAACUGCGGCAACACCGGGUGAGCUGCCCCUAGCGGCUCAAAUUGGGAGCAGCCCAGCGGCGCGAUUCGGAGGCUGCGGGUCGAUUCUUGGGCUGCGGGAGCACGGCGGCCCCAAGCGGCGGAAGCGCGGCGGCUGCUAGCGGGAUGGAGCGCGGCAGCCCCGAGCGGCGGAAGCACAGCGGCCCCAUGGGCGCGGAGGCGGCGGCGAGCAGCGUGGCGCGGCGGCUGCGGCAGCGUCGAGCGGCGUGGCGCGGAGGCUUCAGCGGCAGCUCGUCGGCGUCCACGAGCAGCCGGGGUGCGGCGCCGGCGAUGGAGUGCGGCGGGGCGAGCGGUGGCCGCGGGGUGCGUGACGAGCGCGGUUCCGCCCACACCCGCUCGAGCCCGCGUGCGGAACGGUGAGCGAUGGCGUGGUGGGCUAGGAGGAGGGCGGCCUAUACGGUGGUGCCCUGCUCCUCUGCGUUCUCACCUUGGUGGAGAUGGCUCUGGGUGGCGUGGGCGGCCUGGGCAGCGGUAGGCUUCCACCGCUGCUCCCUCAACGCAGGAACGGAACUUACGGAAGCCUCCUCCGUGCAUCCGAUGCCACGGCCCCGUUGGAGGACCACCAGAACACGGGUAACAACUUCGAGGACGACCGUGAGGUGCCUCGGCUGAAGCACUGGUUCUCUUUCUCUUCUCCGCUGGAAUGGAUUUUGCUGGAGAUUGCCACCCAUCGUGGGAUUGACAAGAAUGACUAGAACAUUCUGAUGGAGCAGAUGCAAUUUUUAUUUGUCAAAGGAGCUGCACUCUCAUAGAUCGAGCAGCAACAAUAUGUUUACCCAUGGUGGUCUUCAAGAAAAGGGUUUCUUUUGCUCAAUAUGAUGUUGUUUGCCGUGCAAUUAUGCUUUUUCAAUACUCAUUGUCCUAAAAUGAAUUUGGUUCCAUUUUCAACCUAGGCACCUCGAUUAACUGCUCUGUCCUAACUGCUCGGCAGCAGCAGGAGCUGUUGGACUUAUAUUUUUUUUCUGUGGUUCAGUUUUCAGAAGUCCAACAGCAGCUGCAGAAGCUCUGGGACCUAUCGGCUUUCACGUUAUGUACCAUUAUGAUUGCAUCAACAGCUUGGCUUUCUCUCUCUGAUUUUUAGAAGCAAGCCCACCAUAGCAGGGAUAUUCAAAUAUCAGCUUGCGCAGGUAAGCAGCAUAGGACCAGCGAGGUUUCAAGUGUCAGGUAUGUGAAAUGUCAUUUUCCUUUAACAAUGUGGUAGUAAUUCCAUGAUUGAUCUUUUGAUGAAUGAUUAGUUUAAUCAGUUAGUUUUCUGGUCAGCUCCUACCAAGCUAGCUCACAUGUUGUCUCAGUGAUAUGUUAUUAUUUCUUCCUUGCAUGUUAAUCCAUUUGCUUUCUCUUUAGGAGUUGGUUGCUGUAGGUGUAGGAGGAGGACUGUAGCUUAAUUUACUGCAGCAUAACUCUGGCAGCUCUUGUACUGGAGCUGGGGGGCUGCACAACAGGCAUGCAUGGGUAGCUUGAUUUCAAUAGCUCCGCCUGCCGUUAGUUUGCCAAUAGAGGAUUAGUUCGUCUGUCUGUUUACUUUUAUAGAAAUCAGUUGCACGUAUGUUUAAUUUCUAUUCAUGUUGGUCGACAGUGAGUUAUACUAGAACAACAGCUUUCCCACUUUAAGAUAAUUUGAGAUGCUAACUUAAUUUGCUCGUAGCAAUCUGCAUGCCUCUUGUUUUACUUAUGAUUGGGCUUUGGAGAUGGUGCAAGGUGGAAUCUUGGGCAGAGUUUGUGAUACUUUCUGUUGGCCGAUGCUAAUGAGUAGUGUUAUAGCUGUGAUUCUAAUUCUCAUAAAACAAUACUUCUGGUUUAAUACCUUAUAUUGCAUCCGUGCUCGUGAAUUGAUUCACUGCCGAAACAACCAGAGAUAAAUCUCAUAGAUAAUUCAAUCUCACCUCUUUAUUCAAUGCUCAGUAUAAUAUCAUUAUGAGAUCUCUUAGGGCUAGGCAAAGAAAUGGUUUUUUGGUACUGGCACCGAAAAUUUUCCCGUUUAUUAGCAUGGAGAUAUCAUCUGUAUCUGGUAUUAGCACUGAAAAUCUUGUCUUAAUGUGAGCUAUAUUAAUUUGAUGCUUGGUGUAUCAGUGAUAUUUUACAAUCAGAUGCAGAUAAGUCUUUGCGAUACAAUCCAUGCAUCUGUAAGGAGGGAAUCAAAUUUGAACAAGGGAAAGCAUAGUGCAAUAAUAGUGUCACCUUAGGAUUGUUGAAUAUGCUAAAAAUAUUAACCUCAAUUUUGCAAUCAUGGUGUGGAUGCAAAUGUGCUUGAUGGCUCGCUUACCGUGUAGGGCAUAUAUGUAGGAGGGAUGUCAGGUGAACGGAUUUCCAUGAGCUUUUCCUUUGCAAAUUCGAAGUAUUGUGUGCUGUUUGUUUACUUAAUCCUUCAGAAGCUAAAUCAAGGUGCCCUAAGCUCUAGGAGUUGGAAUGCUUUACCACUGUUGCAGAUGUCUUCACCGUACAACAAUAUAUGUGUUCAAUGCAGGACAUGGGGGUAAUAAGAAAAUUAGUUUCAAGUUGGCCUCCUGUAAUCAUGUUGGCCUCCUGAUUUGGUUGGAGAAGCGAUUCUGCUCCUCUGGGUCGAUGCACCAGGAGGUCAUUGGCACAGAUGAAUCCUUCCAUAAGUUAGAUCCUUCCCCCUUCUCCCAUUUAAUAUCCUUGUGAUUUUCUAUCUUGCUGAAUGAUUGAAUAGAAAUCUGUACCUUCGUCACUUGUGCCAUACUCUGUAUUUUAUUUGCUUGAGUUCAUGUCUCUGUGAUGCACAAAAUGGUGGUGGUAUACUUGCAUAACCUGUCCUGUAUAAGCUGCAUUCAUGUGCCAACAGGACAACACUACAUGACCUGAUUUAGUUUAUGUUCAAGACUGAUUUAGUUCAACAUAACUAUUGCUUUCAGAUGGAUGGAUAGCAGUACAUGUCUUUUUCCUUGCUAAAUUUGCAAACUGACUUGUCAUAUUCUUUGAUAUUUUUGUUACAGUCAAUUAACCUAUGUCAACUAAAGGCAGCAUUGCCAUGAAAUGGAACGGAGGGGAGUCAAGCAGCACAUGAUCCCGUUGUACAUUUUUUGCACAUGAUGUGAUGUAAGACCACUUUUGGUAACUAGCAACUUAAGGUUGAAACCAAACCUUUUGGUUCCAUGUUAUUGUUCACCACUCAUGUGGAUGUCUGUGGCUUAGUGCAGGAAUUGUUCACAUGACAUAUCUCUUAGAGUUAAUAUUAAUUGUGUUUGAAUGCAUGAA